CGUUCAUUAGAAGUUACAUUGCGGUGAUUUCCUCCCUCAGCUUCAACAGGUUCCACUCGACGCCUUCCUUGGUUAGGAGAUGCUAGCUGAUUUGUAGCCUGACCAGCUGUAGUGGAAUCAACAUUCUCUCUGUGAUCAGGUAACUGAUGAGCACUCCGCUCCUGUUCCCCAGACUGCAGCUGCUCAAGACUUUCGUUUUGUACCUCCUGUGAAGGAUUUGUACGAGUCUCUGGAAUCAACAUUCUCUCUGUGAUCAGUAAGUGAUGAGUACUCUGCUCUUGUUCCCUAGACAGCAGCUGCUCAAGAUUUUCGUUUUGUACCUCCUGUGAAGGAUUUGUGCGAAUCUGGUUAUUUCUCAAACCACCGUUGCCACUGUUAGAUGAAGAUUCAGAAUUGC
rnacentral:lncRNA from 1 species